GACAGAGGAUGCAAGCGUUAUCCGGAAUGAUUGGGCAUAAAGCGUCUGUAGGUGGCUUUUCAAGUCCGCCGUCAAAUCCCAGGGCUCAACCCUGGACAGGCGGUGGAAACUGCCAAGCUGGAGUACGGUAGGGGCAGAGGGAAUUUCCGGUGGAGCGGUGAAAUGCGUAGAGAUCGGAAAGAACACCAACGGCGAAAGCACUCAGCUGGGCCGACACUGACACUGAGAGACGAAAGC
rnacentral:rRNA from 1 species